GAAGGCACAGCGCAGGGGUAGAGCGCAUGCUUAGCAUGCACAAGGUCCUGGGUUCAAUCCCCAGUACCUCCU
rnacentral:tRNA from 1 species